rnacentral:rRNA from 1 species
UACGUAGGGGGCAAGCGUUGUCCGGAAUCAUUGGGCGUAAAGAGCGUGUAGGCGGCCCGGUAAGUCCGCUGUGAAAGUCCAGGGCUCAACCCUGGGAUGCCGCUGGAAACUGUCUGGCUAGAGUCCGGAAGGGGCGAGUGGAAUUCCUGGUGUAGCGGUGAAAUGCGCAGAUAUCAGGAGGAACACCAAUGGCGAAGGCAGCUCGCUGGAACGGUACUGACGCUGAGGCGCGAAAGCGUGGGGAGCGAACAGG